AUCUGAAUCACCAGGGAUCUUGUUAAAAUGUUGGUUAGGAUUCAGUGGGUCAGCUGUGGGGUCCAAGGUUCUGCAUUUGUAACAAGUUCCUGGGUGAUAUCUAU
rnacentral:miRNA from 1 species